rnacentral:rRNA from 1 species
UACGUAGGGGGCAAGCGUUGUCCGGAAUCAUUGGGCGUAAAGAGCGCGUAGGCGGCCCUGUAAGUCCGCUGUGAAAGUCAAGGGCUCAACCCUUGAAUGCCGGUGGAUACUGCAGGGCUAGAGUCCGGAAGAGGCGAGUGGAAUUCCUGGUGUAGCGGUGAAAUGCGCAGAUAUCAGGAGGAACACCGAUGGCGAAGGCAGCUCGCUGGGACGGUAUUGACGCUGAGACGCGAAAGCGUGGGGAGCAAACAGG